GUGCCAGCCGCCGCGGUAAUACGUAGGAUGCAAGCGUUGUCCGGAUUUACUGGGCGUAAAGCGCGCGCAGGCGGCACAUUAAGUAAGGUGUGAAAUAUCCCGGCUCAACCGGGAGGGUGCACUUUAGACUGAUGAGCUUGAGGUCGGUAGAGGGGGGUGGAAUUGCUGGUGUAGCGGUGAAAUGCGUAGAGAUCAGCAGGAACACCCGUGGCGAAGGCGGCCCCCUGGGCCGUACCUGACGCUGAGGCGCGAAGGCUAGGGGAGCGAACGGGAUUAGAUACCCCCGUAGUCC
rnacentral:rRNA from 1 species